AUUGAACGCUGGCGGCAGGCCUAACACAUGCCAGUCGAACGGUAACAGGAAGAAGCUUGCUUCUUUGCUGACGAGUGGCGGACGGGUGAGUAAUGUCUGGGAAACUGCCUGAUGGAGGGGGAUAACUACUGGAAACGGUAGCUAAUACCGCAUAACGUCGCAAGACCAAAAGGGGGACCUUCGGGCCUCUUGCCAUCGGAUGUGCCCAGAUGGGAUUAGCUAGUAGGUGGGGUAACGGCUCACCUAGGCGACGAUCCCUAGCUGGUCUGAGAGGAUGACCAGCCACACUGGAACUGAGACACGGUCCAGACUCCUACGGGAGGCAGCAGUGGGGAAUAUUGCACAAUGGGCGCAAGCCUGAUGCAGCCAUGCCGCGUGUAUGAAGAAGGCCUUCGGGUUGUAAAGUACUUUCAGCGGGGAGGAAGGGAGUAAAGUUAAUACCUUUGCUCAUUGACGUUACCCGCAGAAGAAGCACCGGCUAACUCCGUG
rnacentral:rRNA from 1 species